CUCAGUGUAUAUUAUAGGCUAAUAAAGUAUACCUUUUUAGGUGCCUUAAUAAUCUUUUACUAUUUUUGUUAAAAUGGCAAAGAAUAAAAAAAUGAUAAAAUUUAUACUUGACGUAAUGUUGUUUAACAAAGUAAAUACUGUGUUCAUGCCAAAAUAUCAAAAAUUGACAGUUUAGUGACAGCAGUUCUACAACAAAAACAAAACUUGUCCUUAACACUAAAUGUAGCAGGUAUCUUUAGUUCUACAUCUUUCCGAAUAUGAUCUGUUGUUUUCAGUUUUUUAACUAAAACACGGAAGCUGUUUUUACCCAAUCCAUUUUCAGAUGUAUAAUGUAAGAUCUAUUAGUGAAAGGCAUUAGCGCCAGUUCACACUCCAGACCAGAUGGUGGCGCUAUUGCACAUUUUCAGUUUUUUUGAAAAGCGCCAUAAAAAGAAGAAAAGCCAAGAAGCCAGAGAAGAUAACACACGCUGUUCAAAUUCGCCAUUUUUACUCGCAUAAUAUUGCCUUAAAGGUAGAGAGAGCCUUGAUAGUUUUGGUAAAUUAAAGCUGGUGACGUCCUAGCCCGAGUUAAACGACAACACAACAGGACAAGAACCGAUGGAAAUUAAAUGUGGGUCACGAAAGGAGCCCGGAGGGACAAAGCCUGCUAACGUGUUGCUAGCUUGUGUCUAAGCAAAUGAAGAUGAAAGAGGAAGCCAGGGAUCAUCGAUUAGAAAACCUAAAGACUUUCCUGUCUCAGAAGAGGCUCUGGCUUCACCAGAUCACCAACCAGUUCUGAGGAUGAACCUCCACAUCGUCUUCAUGGUGGAAGGCUUUUUUAAAACAUUUUUUUACUGAGCAGCUGGCCACAUUUUUAACAGCAAAAACUGCUUUCAGGGCUCUGUGAUGGACUGGUGACCUGUCCACGGUGAACCCCGCCUCUCAUCUGAUGACUGCUGGAGAUGGGCACCACCAGCCCCAAUCACCACCCUGCAAGGAUCAGCAUGUUCAGAUCAUGGAUGGAAAGAUUUUAAGGCAUCCGGUCCCAAUCAUUAUCAGUUCUAAUGAUGCCACAUACAUAGUGAGUCCACAAAUUGUUUCUGUGAAGUGCAGUGGUCCAGUGAAUGGGAAUGUUCUGUCGUUGAUCCUCACUGUUAGAAAGGAGAAAUGUCAGUUUUUCUGCAGUAAUCCAGGAAUACUGUGACAUUGAAUUAAAACAAUACUCUGUC